rnacentral:rRNA from 1 species
AUUGAACGCUGGCGGAAUGCUUUACACAUGCAAGUCGAACGGCAGCACGGGGGCAGCCCUGGUGGCGAGUGGCGAACGGGUGAGUAAUACAUCGGAACGUGCCCGGUCGUGGGGGAUAACGUAGCGAAAGUUACGCUAAUACCGCAUACGAUCUGAGGAUGAAAGCGGGGGACCUUCGGGCCUCGCGCGAUCGGAGCGGCCGAUGUCAGAUUAGGUAGUUGGUGGGGUAAAGGCCUACCAAGCCGACGAUCUGUAGCUGGUCUGAGAGGACGAUCAGCCACACUGGGACUGAGACACGGCCCAGACUCCUACGGGAGGCAGCAGUGGGGAAUUUUGGACAAUGGGCGCAAGCCUGAUCCAGCCAUUCCGCGUGCAGGACGAAGGCCUUCGGGUUGUAAACUGCUUUUGUACGGAACGAAAAGGCUCUGGCUAAUACCUGGGGCUCAUGACGGUACCGUAAGAAUAAGCACCGGCUAACUACGUG